rnacentral:tRNA from 1 species
GGAGCUUGGCCCGGACGGUAAGGGGUGCGGCUGUAACCCGCAAGCAGGCUUGUUCCUAGGUGGUUCGACUCCAUCAGGCUCCACCA